rnacentral:rRNA from 1 species
UACGGAGGGUGCAAGCGUUAUCCGGAUUCACUGGGUUUAAAGGGUGCGUAGGUGGCUUUGUAAGUCAGUGGUGAAAUCUCGGAGCUUAACUCCGAAACUGCCAUUGAUACUGCUUAGCUUGAAUCAAGUAGAGGUGGAUGGAAUAUUACAUGUAGCGGUGAAAUGCUUAGAUAUGUAAUAGAACACCGAUUGCGAAGGCAGUUCACUAUGCUUGUAUUGACACUGAGGCACGAAAAGCGUGGGGGAUCAAACAGG